AAAGGAACCUCUUAAUUACAAAAUAGCCUCCAAUAAUCGGAACUGCCUUUGACUAUCAAUGGCAGAACCUCCUCCCCUUUAGCCUCCCUCAGUAAACAGUUUUUUUUUUUUUUUUUUUUUUUUUUUUCUUAAAAAAAAAAAAACCCAAAAAUUCAGCAGGGCUAACUUAUGAAAAAAUAAAUGACCUUGGACUUGUGUAACAAAACAUAAAUAAUAUCCAAUGCAACAUACUUGUAUACUAAACUAUCAAGUUAGAUAAGAGAUACCUUCAAGGAUGGGAUUAGUGCAAAAACUU
rnacentral:misc_RNA from 1 species